ensembl:snoRNA
AUUCUAUGAUGACUUUAUCAAAAUGACUUUCACUCUUCUGAGUAUGCUGAAGCUACCUACCAGGUACUGAGAAAG